rnacentral:tRNA from 1 species
GCCUUGGUGGCUCAGUGGUAAAAGUCUCACCUUCCAUGUGGAAGACCGAGGUUCAAUUCCCAGCCAAGGCA